ACAAGACAGAAUAAAAUAAUCUUUGAGAGAGGCAGAACCUUAGAAAGGAGAUAUUUUAUCUCAUUUAUUUUACAGAUGAAGAAAGUAAACUUCAGAGAGAUCAAAGUGAUUUGUCUCAGGUCACAUAACCAGUGGCAGAAAGAAGAGAAUUGCUGGAAUGUCAAGAUAAGAAUGAAUUCUAGGUUUAAAGUUGUUUAAGUAUAUCCCAAAUUAAAUAUUUCAUUCCUGAGCUCUAAAACCUAUUUACAUUGAAGCCUGAUGUCCUAAACACGGUAAUUACAAAGCUGGGUAAUGGUCUCCAUCCUUUCCUUUCAUGAAUCCAUGUAUGAAAGUUA
rnacentral:lncRNA from 1 species